rnacentral:rRNA from 1 species
CCUACGGGGGGCUGCAGUAGGGAAUCUUCCGCAAUGGACGAAAGUCUGACGGAGCAACGCCGCGUGAGUGAAGAAGGUUUUCGGAUCGUAGAACUCUGUUGUCAGAGAAGAACAAGUUGGAGAGUAACUGCUCCAGCCUUGACGGUAUCUGACCAGAAAGCCACGGCUAACUACGUGCCAGCAGCCGCGGUAAUACGUAGGUGGCAAGCGUUGUGUGGAGCUAGCGGGGGUAAUGCCAUAGCUGGCAGUUGAAAGCCCACGGCUCAACCGUGGAAGGUCAUUGGAAACUGGGGAACUUGAGUGCAGAAGAGGAGAGUGGAAUUCCAUGUGUAGCGGUGAAAUGCGUAGAUAUAUGGAGGAACACCAGUGGCGAAGGCGACUCUCUGGUCUGUAACUGACGCUGAGGCUCGAAAGCGUGGGGAGCAAACAGGAUUAGAUACCCUAGUAGUC